rnacentral:lncRNA from 1 species
UUCAUGAAAAAUAUCAAAAUUAAUCCAAAAAAUAAUUUUAAUUCAAAAUAUGGAAGAGAAAAAUAUUUAAAGAUUUUUAGUGAAAGACCCAUAUUUUUUGGAUUAAAAAUGAAAUUAAUAUGAAUUAAACAAAAUAAAGGGAUUAAAUGAAAAAUAAAAAAAUAAAAAGAAAUUCAAAAAAAUAAGGGUCAUCAGAUCUCCGCCAUUAAUUGAGGUGGCAGAUCUGAUGGCCAAGCGCGUGCUUCCACCAAAUGCAACAGACAACGCCUGUACACAUGUGGUAAUCAGAAAGAAUGGUUGAGAUUAAAACAUGGAGAGAUGAUCUGAUGGAUAGGACCUUG